AGCUGAUGCAGCGAUGCCGCGUGUGUGAUGAAGGCCUUCGGGUUGUAAAGCUCUUUCAGUAGGGAGGAAAAGCUGAAGGUUAAUAACCUUUAGUCUUGACGUUACCUACAGAAGGAGCACCGGCUAUAUCCGUGCCAGCAGCCGCGGUAAU
rnacentral:rRNA from 1 species